UAUAAGCCACAGAAGGGAAGAAAUGAAUGCCAAUUGGCCCAUGACCAUGGGUGGGCCUGGAAAAGGAACCACAAGUUCCCACUCCAGUUGGCGGGACUGGCAGCCCAGCCCACAGCCUUCAGGCCCUCCCUGAUGUGAAGGAUGCAAAGCAUUGGUAGAGGGAACCAUGGUACUAGAAGAUGACAGAGCAACCAGUUUGAAAGAGCCUGGAUCCCUGAAUGAAUGUAUGGAGCAGGGCUCUCUCUCUGUUGAAUGGUGAUGAGAGUGAGAAAUAAACCUUCAUUGUACGAA